UUUUGGCUAAAUUUGGUCUCCUUCACCCGUGCCUCAAGCCUUCGCCGCCGCCCGCCGCCAGAGAAAACCCCCCAUCCUUCUCUCCUCAAUCUUCAUCUCCCCAUGGCCCCAUCGCAUGGCCCGCCGUGCGCCACCACCCCGUCGCGCCCCUACCGGCCCUGCUCCACCGCGUAGCCUCUUCCUCCCCUUCUCCCCAACAUCGGUGACCGAGUCGGACCAUCCGGCGGUGGGCACGAUGUCCUCUCGCAGAUCUGACUGCCGCCACCGUCGCCUUCUCAACGCCACCUCGAGCUCCCCCACGACGCGGUUGUCCCUGACGAGCACCACCCUGACACUACGUCCCCGGCGAGCUCCUCCCCGACGGCCCCAUACUCUUCUGCACCGCCCCCGCCCCCUCCUCUCCUGCCCCUCGAGCACUACGGCAAGGAUAACGGCAUCCACCUCCCCGCUAGAUCAAGAUCGCGCCCACCACCUCGACUUCUCUCCAAAGAUCCUGGAAGCGAGGCUCGUCUCUGUGAUUUGCUUGUCAAGAAAUUAUGCAUAGGUUACUUCACUACUGCUCUCGGCUAGCUUGACGUUGUGGCAGAAUAUCAGUUUCCCCUUUGCACAUCCGCUCAUGUAGGUUUAGUAGUACAUGUCUAUUCAUUUAGGUGUUUCCGCUUGCACGUUUCCAGAUCCAGAGCUUACAAGUCUAUCAAUUUAGAUGUUCAGCGUGCCCGUUAUGUCCAGAUCUAGAACUUAAAAGUAGCAUUUUCACAUACAAGAUCUAGUGGGUAAAUCUUUUAAGUUCAAGUUCAGAAUUAAAGACAGAUAUAUGGCUACUAUGAUGCAGGUUGUCCAUGCUAACAGUGGCGGAGCUUGAAAGAAAUCUUAGGAGGGGCGAAGGUACCGAUGAAUGUUUAAAGGCUACAUUGGUGUUUCUAGCUUGGAGAAGCAACAUCAACUUGGGAUACAGAUUCACCAGCAUAUGUACAUGCAUCUCAUAGGGGAAGAGCUCUUGCAUGGAUGACCAUAAUGUCACUCUGGAUGCUUCUCCACAAGAUUUGAUUCUGGAGCCUGACGCUGGUGUUGCAGGGAUGUUUGGAUUUUUAUUGAUAAUGCAUCUGGAACUACCUCAGCUUGUCACUCCUCGGAAGCCAACCUCUUGAUAGUUAAUGAUGUCGGGUGCAUGUAUAGAUAGCAUGCUGUAACAAGUUUAUUUGAUACUCGGCGUGACCAACAAUGCUUGUACAUGUUGGUCACAGUGUUCUAGUUGCAACGACUAACUUGUCAUAGCUUAUUUUUUGAAUUUGGCCUUUAGUUGACUACAUAUCUGAUGUAUGUGUUCAUUGAUUAUGAAUCUGAUGUGGUGUAUGAUGAAUUUUGGAUGUGAUUUACAAAUUCAAAAUUUUGCUCUGAUUUAA